rnacentral:RNase_P_RNA from 1 species
GCGGGGGAAUUGCCGCCGUCCCUCUGAGGAAAGUCCGGGCUCCGCAGGGCAUGAUGCCGGGUAACCCCCGGGCGGAAAGGGCGAAAGCUUUUUCCGACAGAAAGCGCAACAGAAAGCAAACCGCCGUUUUGGUUGCCGGUUACCCGGAAGCCGGACGGUAAGGGUGAAAGGGCGGGGUAAGAGCCCACCUCGGCGGCGGCAACGCUGCCGGAAAGAUUUCGGUCUCCGGUUUUCCGAAAAACGGCAAGCCUCAUCAGGAGCAAAGUCAAGCAGCGGUGGAACGGCCCGUUCCAUACCGCGGGUAGGCUGCGCGGACGUGCGCCCGCAAGGGCCUCGCAAGAUAGAUGGCAGUUUGGCAUCAAACCGUCUCCGAUGUUUUGAUGCCACAGAACCCGGCUUACCGGUUCAUCGCUUUU